GCCUUUAUAGCUCAAUCGGUCAGAGCAUCCGACUUUUAAUCGGAAGGUUGGGGGUUCGAGUCCCCCUAAAGGCU
rnacentral:tRNA from 1 species